rnacentral:rRNA from 1 species
AGAUUAAGUUAUUAAGGGCGCACGGUGGAUGCCUUGGCACUAGAAGCCGAUGAAGGACGUUACUAACGACGAUAUGCUUUGGGGAGCUGUAAGUAAGCUUUGAUCCAGAGAUUUCCGAAUGGGGAAACCCAGCAUGAGUUAUGUCAUGUUAUCGAUAUGUGAAUACAUAGCAUAUCAGAAGGCACACCCGGAGAACUGAAACAUCUUAGUACCCGGAGGAAGAGAAAGAAAAUUCGAUUCCCUUAGUAGCGGCGAGCGAAACGGGAAGAGCCCAAACCAACAAGCUUGCUUGUUGGGGUUGUAGGACACUCUAUACGGAGUUACAAAGGACGACAUUAGACGAAUCAUCUGGAAAGAUGAAUCAAAGAAGGUAAUAAUCCUGUAGUCGAAAAUGUUGUCUCUCUUGAGUGGAUCCUGAGUACGACGGAGCACGUGAAAUUCCGUCGGAAUCUGGGAGGACCAUCUCCUAAGGCUAAAUACUCUCUAGUGACCGAUAGUGAACCAGUACCGUGAGGGAAAGGUGAAAAGCACCCCGGAAGGGGAGUGAAAUAGAACCUGAAACCGUGUGCUUACAAGUAGUCAGAGCCCGUUAAUGGGUGAUGGCGUGCCUUUUGUAGAAUGAACCGGCGAGUUACGAUUUGAUGCAAGGUUAAGCAGUAAAUGUGGAGCCGUAGCGAAAGCGAGUCUGAAUAGGGCGUUUAGUAUUUGGUCGUAGACCCGAAACCAGGUGAUCUACCCUUGGUCAGGUUGAAGUUCAGGUAACACUGAAUGGAGGACCGAACCGACUUACGUUGAAAAGUGAGCGGAUGAACUGAGGGUAGCGGAGAAAUUCCAAUCGAACC